rnacentral:tRNA from 1 species
GCGGGAGUAGCUCAAUGGUAGAGCAUCUGCCUUCCAAGCAGAAGACGGGGGUUCGAUCCCCCUCUCCCGCUCCA